rnacentral:sRNA from 1 species
CGACGCCAAAAGGACACGCGUGUCACAGCUGCUAUCUGCACUGGAGAAAUGGACGAUCCACCGCGGAAUACGUCGUGGAAAGAACCAAGCUGUGCCAGGAAGCCAAGGCACUGACG